GGAGGAAACCAUGUGAUCGAAAGACCUUGUGCUUUUAGAGCGGCCGAUGCCUGAUUAGCUAGUUGGUAAGGUAAAGGCUUACCAAGGCAACGAUCAGUAGCUGGUCUGAGAGGACGACCAGCCACACUGGGACUGAAACACGGCCCAGACUCCUACGGGAGGCAGCAGUGGGGAAUUUUGGACAAUGGGCGCAAGCCUGAUCCAGCCAUGCCGCGUGAGUGAAGAAGGCCUUCGGGUUGUAAAGCUCUUUCGGUCGGGAAGAAAUAGUUAUGGCUAAUAUCCAUAAUGAAUGACGGUACCGACAUAAGAAGCACCGGCUAACUACGUGCCAGCAGCCGCGGUAAUACGUAGGGUGCAAGCGUGAAUCGGAAUUAUUGGGCGUAAAGGGUGCGCAGGCGGAUGUAUAAGUCAGAUGUGAAAUCCCUGGGCUUAACCUAGGAAUUGCGUUUGAAACUACAAAGCUAG
rnacentral:rRNA from 1 species